GGACGUGAACGGUCUGCCUUUGUUGUGGAUGCGAA
rnacentral:rRNA from 1 species